AGUUUCCCACAGCCCCUCCCAAUGCCCCCUCCCUCUCCUCUAAAAAAGAGCGUUCCUCACUUUGUUCUUCCGUUUCUUCUCCAGACUUGCCUGUGGUUUUGCUGGGGCUGGCGUGUCCCAAAUUAUAAUUCUCUGCUAUUCCCAGAACUGGACUGUUCCUCUUGGAACCAUGCCUGUUGGAAAUGAGCUGGCCCUUCGUCUGAUUUCUUCUGGAACAAGGCUACUCCUGUAGAGACCAGUGUCUAUAAACUUUUUUUCUGGUCUAGAGAAAACUACCAAGAAAUGGAUUCCAAUUAUCAAAGCGCAUGGAGGGGGGACCCAACUGGGACCCUGGCCAAUCUUAGGUUUAAAAACCA